rnacentral:rRNA from 1 species
UACGUAGGGGGCUAGCGUUGUCCGGAAUCACUGGGCGUAAAGAGCGUGUAGGCGGUCCGGUAAGUCCGCUGUGAAAGUCGGGGGCUCAACCCUCGAAUGCCGGUGGAUACUGUCGGGCUAGAGUGCGGAAGAGGCGAGUGGAAUUCCUGGUGUAGCGGUGAAAUGCGCAGAUAUCAGGAGGAACACCUAUUGCGAAGGCAGCUCGCUGGGACGUUACUGACGCUGAGACGCGAAAGCGUGGGGAGCAAACAGG